CGUAGGUGAACCUGCGGAAGGAUCAUUCAUAAUAAGUGUUUUAUGGCACUUUUUUAAAUCCAUAUCCACCUUGCGUGCAAUGUCAGGGUUGAUUUUUCUCUCGAGAGGAUCAGCCCCAAACAUCAACUAUAUCUCAACUCUUUGUCUGAAAAAUAUUAUGAAUAAAACAAUUCAAAAUACAACUUUCAACAACGGAUCUCUUGGCUCUC
rnacentral:misc_RNA from 1 species